UAGAGGUGAAAUUCGUAGAUAUUAGAAAGAAUACCAAUUGCGAAGGCAGCUUUCUGGAUCAUUACUGACACUGAGGAACGAAAGCAUGGGUAGCGAAGAGGAUUAGAUACCCUCGUAGUCCAUGCCGUAAACGAUGUGUGUUAGACGUUGGAAAUUUAUUUUCAGUGUCGCAGCGAAAGCGAUAAACACACCGCCUGGGGAGUACGACCGCAAGGUUAAAACUCAAAUGAAUUGACGG
rnacentral:rRNA from 1 species